AGUGAACGCUGGCGGUAGGCCUAACACAUGCAAGUCGAACGGCAGCACAGUAAGAGCUUGCUCUUACGGGUGGCGAGUGGCGGACGGGUGAGGAAUACAUCGGAAUCUUCUUUUUCGUGGGGGCUAACGUAGGGAAACUUACGCUAAUACCGCAUACGACCUACGGGUGAAAGCAGGGGUUCUUCGGACCUUGCGCGAUUGUAUGAGCCGAUGUCGGAUUAGCUAGUUGGCGGGGUAAAGGCCCACCAAGGCGACGAUCCGUAGCUGGUCUGAGAGGAUGAUCAGCCACACUGGAACUGAGACACGGUCCAGACUCCGACGGGAGGCAGCAGUGGGGAAUAUUGGACAAUGGGCGCAAGCCUGAUCCAGCAAUACCGCGUGGGUGAAGAAGGCCUUCGGGUUGUAAAGCCCUUUUGUUGGGAAAGAAAAGCAGCAGGUUAAUACCCCGCUGUUCUGACGGUACCCAAAGAAUAAGCACCGGCUAACUUCGUG
rnacentral:rRNA from 1 species